UUCUGACUGGCUAGUAGUCCUUACCUAGUACUGUCAUGGCCCUCAUACUCUGCUCCUGACUGGCUAGUAGUCCUUACCUAGGUAGCGUCAGGACCCUCAUACCUCCUGCUCCUGCCAUGGCUAGUAUCCUUACCUUAUGUACUGUCAGGGCCUCAUACUCUGCUUCUGACUGGCUAGUAGUCCUUACCCCCUAGGUACUGUCAGGGCCCUCAUACUCUGCUCCCUGGACGGCUAGUCGUCCUUACCUAGGUCUGUCAGGAACCUUCAUACUCUGCUUCUGACUGUCUAGUAGUCCUUACCGUAUUACUGAGCAUGUGCGCUCCCAACUAGAUGGAAAACAUAAGUGAGAUGGGUCUCACCUGUAACUGAACAGAGAAGCUCAACACACAGUGUGCAAAGAGGAGCUGCAGCAAUGUGCUACCACAUAAUGUGGAUUUUUUGUAAUUAAACCACAGAAACCUCUUAUUGGUAAAACCUCUAAAUACAAUUAUGA